AAAUUGAAGAGUUUGAUCAUGGCUCAGAUUGAACGCUGGCGGCAGGCCUAACACAUGCAAGUCGAGCGGUAGCACAGAGAGCUUGCUCUCGGGUGACGAGCGGCGGACGGGUGAGUAAUGUCUGGGAAACUGCCUGAUGGAGGGGGAUAACUACUGGAAACGGUAGCUAAUACCGCAUAACGUCGCAAGACCAAAGUGGGGGACCUUCGGGCCUCAUGCCAUCAGAUGUGCCCAGAUGGGAUUAGCUAGUAGGUGGGGUAACGGCUCACCUAGGCGACGAUCCCUAGCUGGUCUGAGAGGAUGACCAGCCACACUGGAACUGAGACACGGUCCAGACUCCUACGGGAGGCAGCAGUGGGGAAUAUUGCACAAUGGGCGCAAGCCUGAUGCAGCCAUGCCGCGUGUGUGAAGAAGGCCUUCGGGUUGUAAAGCACUUUCAGCGGGGAGGAAGGCGUUAAGG
rnacentral:rRNA from 1 species